UGAAAACAUAGGAGGAGGUGAAGGGGUUACAGAGAAGUGAUUGGAUGAAGAGACCCAGAGAAGAGACCCAGAGAAGUGAUUGGAUGAAGAGACCCAAUCACAGACUCAAGGAGGAAGUGAAUGCAUGGUAUGCUUUAAUAGACUGGGGGCUGAUUAGUCCCGAUUUGUAGAGGACCAUGACCUAAUUUUUAUCGUUCAUGCGCAACGUCCCUGUGCGUCGUCGUCAAGGCAACGUCACUAGUCCGGGCGGGGCCCGAAGCGCGAGCAGAGGCCCCCCCCGGUGAAAAUGGACAGCCCGCAAAGACUAAUCCUCCCCACCGGAUGGUCCCUGCAGCAUAGAUGGCCCGGACCAGCUCACCCUAACUUCCCGCCGAGGGGAGUUAUAGGAGGAUGGCAAUAAAAAAAAACGGGAAAAAGAUGCAGCUCAGCUCACCAUCCGGUGUGACCUAAGUUCAAGGACGGAUUAUCAAAUCUUGAUGCAUGGAGCUCGGACUGCAGAAAGCGGGCCAUAUCUUGUUUAAACAAGUAGAUGAAAGGUUAAAGGCUCCUCCAGCUCAUGGCAUGAUAGCUCAGAAUGCGUUGGUGUUUUGCUUGUUGUUUUUUUUUACUUUUAAUGCAUAUGCAAUAAACCUAUG